rnacentral:lncRNA from 1 species
GAAUGAAAUACUAGGUUCCCUUCUCCCUUUCUGCUCAUAUUUCCCUUUAGAUUUCAUUCCUUUCCCCUGUUUUUAAUAUCUCCCUAUAUCUGCACUGACCACUUGCCUUCACUCUCCCCAUCAAUGAUGCUGUAAUUAGUUAAAAAGACACACAUAGGAUCCAGGGUUUGAAAAAUAAAAAGAAAGACAUGCAGAACUUAUAAACAGAAACAUUCCCCUUCCCACGAAUUUCAGAUGGCAUAAAAAGAAUUUUAUUGCAGAUACAGGAUAUGUGUUUUAUCUUUUAUUUCUGGACAAGCCUAAGAUCAUUGUGUGGCAUGCCAGUGACAGUUUUGUAGCUAUCAACUAACCAUGGCUUCCAUCACCAGCGCAUGAGCUGCUAUGACGCCAUCCUGUGUUUCAUCCAAGUGUCACAUCCCAGCUAACCCAGCAAGUCCCCUGUCUGAGUUGUGGGGAUAACUUUCUUUUGCAGUUAUAAUGUCAUGGGUACUCACUUUUAUGUUUGUUUUUACUGGGCCCCUGCAGCCCUAAGAGCUGUGCUGCCAGCAUCUCUGUAUGAUUUUGUUCUGGUAUCUUCUUUCCUUGGCAUAGCAGUCAAGCAUGUGUCUUUUGUCUGGCCAUCUUGUCUACACGUCUACUGUCAUGGUGUCGUUCUGUGAUUCUGUUCUCUGUUUGUAAUAUGUGGUUUGAUGUCUUCAGUCCUUACUUCUCACUCUCCUGCUAUCUCUACUGCUAACCUUACCCCCUUAGAGAACUUCACAAAGAAGCAAAACAAAUUUCCAUUUGAGUUGUAUGGCUGGUAACAAUGGUUUGCACCUGCAAGUCCUAAAUUACACUUUUCCUGGACUUUCCAGGGAAAACUCAUAGUGGAAAACAAUUAUAAAUGUUCAAAACGUAAAAAAGAAAAAGAAAAAGAAAGAAGAAACCCUUGUUGAUUUCAUUGACAUGAUUAAAUUUGCUUACUGUUUAAGGGACUUGAAGGAAGUGCUAAUUUCCAAAGAGUCUUUUCAUAGAUCAGCAGCCUUCUAGUUAGAACAUUUUCUUCAGAAAGAGAGCAAGAGAAUGAAGCAUCCUCAUUUCUGCUGCACAGAGCAGAGCCUUCCCCCAACUUGCUGAGGCACUGGUGAAAAUCUCCAUUUAUCUUUAAGCAAGUUUGUGCUUACAUGCUUUAUCAUAAAUUAUAAACAUGUUCAGCAAGAUGUCUACUGAUGAAGGAACCAAAGCCCAUUUGACUUACUGGUUCCGCCCAUGUAUAUUACAAGGUAAGAUUAUCUUUUGAUAUUUCUAAGCCAAGAUACAUAUUUUUUAUCUCAUUUUAUUUUUUUUUUAAUUCAUGGAAGCAUUAAAAAGCCAAUGGUUUUUACUUGGACCCGGAUCCUUUAUUUUAGCCUUUUAAAGAACAUGGCAUGUGUAAUAGCUCCAUUUCUGAAGACAAUCUAAAUUUCUUGAGCAGAUGUAGAAGAAAGUGUUCUGUUAACUGUACAGGAUGGCCCAUACGAUGUAAUUUUCUAGGAACCUUGAUGCAUUACUUGGAAAGAUGUGGGCAUUUGAUGUGGACAAUAUGAAAAAGGCAUUAUGUGAACAACAUAAUUUCUUUUCUCUUAAGGAUUGAGUGAAAGAAUGUGACAUCUGUAUACAAUGGGUAAUAGCUGUUGGGUUAGGAAAAACAUUGUCUCAUAAUGCAAAGACUGGUUCGGGUCUAAAGAAGAAAAAGUUAAUGAAGGCAUUGGUUUAUCAUGAGAUGUUGCAGACAGGCUAGGGAAACUGACUGAUUUUUCUGUAGUUAAGAUGAAAAAGAAAAGGCAAGAUUAAUGGGCUCUGAGAAGCUAAAUAGAAACUGCAGUUGAAAGACAAAAGGGAGGCAGAGGAGGAGCAAGAUAAAGGGUGGGAAAGAUAAAACUAGAGAGGAAGGAAAUAAAAGAAGGAUGGAGGGAGAGGGAGACAGAAGGAGGUGGAACAAGUAUUGAUUACAACCCAAGUAUAAUGGUUUGAUGUAAGUGUUUUAAAAUUGGGAGCAGCACAAUGACUCAGUAGUUAUAGGUUCUUGCCUUCAAAACUGACUACCUUAGUUCAAUCCCUAGUCUUCCAUGGUAAGGACAUAAUCAAUUUGUCUGAUAUGAUACUCAUACACCAUGGCAUUUUCACAGUUACACACAUAUACACACAGGAUAAGUAAAUAACACUGCACAUGUACACACACCCUCCCUCAGAGCCCAAAUACAGCGUUUCUAGGUUUAUAUUGUGUAGCCUAGCUCCACGAUGGCUAAUUUCAUCAACCAGCGUUAGACUCAGACUUGGACAAUAUUUCUCAUUAACAUACCAUGUCAUUUUUUAAAAAUCAGAACAAAACAGAGAUCAGUAGCUCCCAGAAAUAUGAUAAUAGUAAAUUAUAUUAUCUUGAUAAUAUAUAUUUUAUUGUCUUUGUUUUAAUGUCGUGCUUAUAAAUUUAUAUAUUUUAAUUUUGGAAAAUGGUCAAGAUCUGUAAAAAUGGAACAGUCAGGCUCAUAAGCUGGCUCUAGAAUAGCACUGGCUCACUGUGAAUGCAUGGCUGGGAAUAUUACUUAAACCUCAUUAUAGGUUACUAUUAUAAUAGGAAUUAGUGUGGUCAUAUCAUACUUGAGAAAAUCAGGGUUGGAUGUUUCCAUUUGCCAAGGUCACAUAGCUGCACUUCAGUGGCAAGGCUAAGAUUCUAAUCCAAAUCUGUUUGAAAACAGAUAGCAAUACAGACAGCAAUAAAAUUAAGAACUAUUUUUGUGAUGAUUUGUGUAGCUUACUAUGAGUACAGCCUCUCUAUUGGCCCAAGGUAGUCCUUACUUUAUCAGUACAUGGUAAGAAAGCUGCUUCUUGUGUCUUGAAGAAAAAAUGCCAAAAAAAAA